GCAUGUACGCGUCACGACGCGAACAUCACAUUCAUUCCGGUCCGCCGUGAAUGUUGGCCUCUGUCGACGUUGAAUUGCUUUGAUCAGAGUUUGUUCGCUUUGACCAAAGGCUGCCAACUGAGUCCCCCCCCCAACCCUCUUUAUUGCUGCUCCACUUUUUGUCUCUGACUUCUUUCACUCACUGUCUAUCUUGGAUUAACAAGACGCAUUGUGGUGGACGUUGACUGAUCCCUGUGGGCUGGAUCAGACAUUGACGAAUCAGACGUGGACUUUGAUCCCUGUGUUGAGGAUCAAACUUUUUUUUUUUGAUCCUUGUGGUGUGGAUCAGACGUUGACUUGAUCCCUGGUAUCUGGAUCAGACCUUGACUUGAUCCUUGCCUGGAUCGGACCUUGACUUGAUCCCUUGCGGUGCGGGAUCUGAUUGAAAAAAAAAACCUGCCUUGGGAUUGGCAUUGAAAUAUAACCCUGUUGUGGGCUGUGCAUUCAAAAUAUAACCCGUUGUGGGCUGUGCAUUGAAAUAUAACUUCUUGGACCUGGGCCUAACUGUGAAAUAUUACUACCUCUUGUGCGAGAUCCAAUUGCCAAAAGUGCAAGACACGAGCCAUGCCACGCAAAAGCAAGAAGGCGCAAGCUGCCAAGGUAAGAUGGCAACAGCGUAAAAACAACACAGACUCUGGAAGUGCAGAUAAACCAACAACUGCCAAACAAUUGAUGGCCACUGAACCUGGAAACUCUACGGAGGUAAUGAUGUCUAAAUCUCAUGAUCCUGUAACAUGUGUUUUGGCAUCCUACAGUCAAGAUCAUCCAAAGUAUGCUGAUUCCAGAAACAGUCAGUGUGCUGCAAACUCUGCUACAUUUCUAGCUUUCCUGCAGGAGAUAGACAAUGUGACCAGUGCUCACCUGGACCUUGUUCUCGAUCGAGGCAAUGAGCUCUAUGUGGCUACUGUGGCUGUGCUGAAAGCAGAAGGACGAUACGAACAUCCUCAUUUGGCAACCGAUGAAAUUCCAUCCAUUGUGAAUGGCUUUCACAAACAACAUGUGUUAAUAAAGCAUCAGUCAAUGUA